rfam:Firmicutes bacterium CAG:345 genomic scaffold, scf22
UGGUAAAAAUAUCAGUUUGGUCAUAUAUCGCUCUAAUAUGGUGAGCAGUUUCUACCACAAACCGUAAAUUUGUGACUAUGGCGGUUCAUUUGAAUUUU